GUUAGAGUGGAGGGGCGGCAGGGUAGACUUGUGGUUAGAGUGGAGGGGCGGCAGGGUAGCCUAGUGGUUAGAGUGGAGGGGUGGCAGGGUAGCCUAGUGGUUAGAGUGGAGGGGUGGCAGGGUAGCCUAGUGGUUAGAGUGGAGGGGUGGCAGGGUAGCCUAGUGGUUAGAGUGGAGGGGCGGCAGGGUAGCCUAGUGGUUAGAGCGUUGAACUAGUAACGGAAAGGUUGCAAGUUCGAAUCCCCGAGCUGACAAGGUACAAAUCUGUCGUUCUGCCCCUGAACAGGCAGUUAACUCACUGUUCCUAGGCCGUCAUUGAAAAUAAGAAUUUGUUCUUAACUGUCUGGUUAAAUAAAGGUAAAGAAAAUUCCUGCUGCUAUACCAAAAAAUGUAAGCACCCAUGACAAAGUCUCCCUCCCUCUUUGCCUCCCUCCCUCUUUCCCUCCCUCCCUCCCUCUUUCCCUCCCUCCCUCCCUCUUUCCCUCCCUCCCUCUUUCCCUCCCUCUCUCCUCCAGGUCCCUGAGAUCAUCAGUACGCUGCGUCAGGCCGGGAAGAGCUCGGCGCGCAACGAUGACCUCGCAGUGCCCAAACCCGCCGCCUCUUCCUCAGAAGACUGUACUCCGUCCGCGUCGUCGGCCUUCGGCGCGGCCACCAUGUUCGCCAAGAGGUUUGAGGUUCUGUUCUGUGGAAGAGUGACCGUCGCUCACAAGAAAGCCCCGCCCGCUUUGAUUGACGAGUGCAUCGAGAAAUUCAGCCAAUCCGUAGGGGCCGGGGGGCGAUCCUAAACCAGAUAGCGGCGGUGGAUUGGUGGACGGGUUGCGGAGAGGUCUGGCCUUACCAACGCUAACGCGAAAUGGAGGAACGGGGGAUGGAGAGGUCAGGGGAGGAGGAUACGGUGCCUCUAGUGGUGGGAGGCCGGUGGUGUUCAAACCAGACCCCAGUUUCCCCUGCCUCCGGGCCCUGGAUGAGAACGGACUGUCACCUGAACUACACACACACACCGCUGGGGUCCAGCCCACCAGUCUACAGGAGAACAGGACCAUGCUGUUCAUGGUAACUUACACACACACACACACACACACCGCUGGGGUCCAGCCCACCAGUCUACAGGAGAACAGGACCAUGCUGUUCAUGAUAACUAACACACACACACACACACGUACACACCCACACACACACCGCUGGGGUCCAGCCCACCAGUCUACAGGAGAACAGGACCAUGCUGUUCAUGGUGGGUCGGUCUCAGAUCUUCCUGGUCAGUCCAGACACUAAGAAGGUUGCCAUAGAGAAGAGCUUCAGAGAAAUAUCUUUCUGCUCACAGGUACGUGUGUGUGUGUGUGUGUGUGUGUGUGUUUCUCUUUGUCCCCCACAAUGCAAUGGGAGGGGUAACUACUAUGGAUGUGUCUCCGUCCGUUAGCAUGUCGGGACGUUAGUUGGAUAUCUCAGACCCCGUUCUGGAUGGUGAGUCGUGACCUAGAGAUCUGGGGAACGACGUGUUUAAUGAUACCUUGUUUUACAUUGUGACCCACCAUGCUUCUCUUUCUAAUCUCUCUCUCUGUCUCUCUGUCUCUCUGUGUCUCUCUCUCUGUUUCUCUGUGUCCCUCUCUCUGUCUCUCUCUGUCUCUCUGUGUCUCUCUCUCUCUGUGUCUCUCUGUGUCUCUCUCUCUCUCUCUCUCUGUCUCUCUCUCUCUGUGUCUCUCUCUGUAUCUCUCUGUAUCUCUCUCUCUCCCUCUCUCUCU
ensembl:lncRNA